GACGAACGCUGGCGGCGUGCCUAAUACAUGCAAGUUGAGCGAUGAAGAUUGGUGCUUGCACCAAUUUGAAGAGCAGCGAACGGGUGAGUAACGCGUGGGGAAUCUGCCUUUGAGCGGGGGACAACAUUUGGAAACGAAUGCUAAUACCGCAUAACAACUUUAAACAUAAGUUUUAAGUUUGAAAGAUGCAAUUGCAUCACUCAAAGAUGAUCCCGCGUUGUAUUAGCUAGUUGGUGAGGUAAAGGCUCACCAAGGCGAUGAUACAUAGCCGACCUGAGGGGGUGAUCGGCCACAUUGGGACUGAGACACGGCCCAAACUCCUACGGGAGGAAGCAGUAGGGAAUCUUCGGCAAUGGACGAAAGUCUGGCCGAGCAACGCCGCGUGAGUGAAGAAGGUUUUCGGAUCGUAAAACUCUGUUGGUAGAGAAGAACGUUGGUGAGAGUGGAAAGCUCAUCAAGUGACGGUAACUACCCAGAAAGGGACGGCUAACUACGUG
rnacentral:rRNA from 1 species